ACCUGACCAGGGGUCGGACAAAAAGUGCGAAUGACGUCAAACCACUUAUAGGAUGAUUUCAAAUAGUAUUUUUGAUUUUCAUAAACAAUUAUCACGUAUCAUUUAUCAAUCUCUUUAUUGACCUCUUUAUUAAACGAUAUCGCCACUUGAAAUGAGUAAGUACGUUUUUGACUGACACAUUGUCAAUCAGAUGAACAGUCAGCGUCAAAUACUUCGUAGCAGUCAAAGUAGCCAAAUAGUUCGGUACACCAUAUAUUUAGUAUACUGACUGAACAAUAAAUUGUCUUCGUUAUUGUUUAGCUAUUGUAUCCUCACGAUUAUAUUUAGCUAAAAUUUAUAUUUACUAAUAUAUAAGAAAACGCUCUAAAAUGUCAUCUUUACUCGAAUAUUGUGGCAAUUUUCCGUUUUUGGAGGUACGUGACAAACACGUAUACUGAUAAUCUUACCUACUGUUCCCACUUUUGACUAUUAAACCUAUUUAUCUGAGGAUCCCACAGACUUGUUCUAACUAAUUUCAAAUAAUUAUACCUUAUGGUAACAAGUUUCGUGAAAUUUAUUUUAUUCACUACAUCACCCUACCACCUGUAUUAUUAAUUCCAUGGAUUUAUUUACGAUUAUUUUGUUACUUCAUUAAUACUACUUUGUUACUACAUGUGGUAGGGUGAUGUAGUGAAUAAAAUAAAUUUCACGAAACUUGUUACCAUAAGGUAUAAUUAUUUGAAAUUAGUUAGAACAAGUCUGUGAGAUUGCCACAAUAUUCGAGUAAAGAUGACAUUUUAGAGCGUUUUCUUAUACAUUAGUAAAUAUAAAUUUUAGCUAAAUAUAAUCGUGAAGAUACAAUAGCUAAACAAUAACGAAGUCAAUUUAUUGUUCAUCUGAUUGACAAUGUGUCAGUCAAAAACGUACUUACUCAUUUCAAGUGGCGAUAUCGUUUAAUAAAGAGGUUGAUAAAUGAUAAGUGAUAAUUGUUUAUGAAAAUCAAAAAUACUAUUUGAAAUCAUCCUAUAAGUGGUUUGACGUCAU